GUACUCGCUUUGGCAGAGCACGUACUAAGAUUCGAAUGAUGCAGAGAUUAGCACGGCGCCUGCCCAGGGAUGACACACAAAAUCGUGAAGUGUUCCAUAUUUUU